rnacentral:rRNA from 1 species
GACGAACGCUGGCGGCGUGCCUAACACAUGCAAGUCGAACGGGGUGAACCGCUUCGGUGGUUUACUUAGUGGCGAAACGGGUGAGUAACGCGUGAGGAACCUGCCUUUCAGUGGGGGACAACAGGUUGGAAAACCGACUGGCUAAAUACCGCAUAAAGUAUUUAAGGGGCAUCCCUUGAAUACCAAAGAUUUAUGCUGAAAGAUGGCCUCGCGUCUGAUUAGCUAGUUGGUGGGUAACGGCCCACCAAGGCGACGAUCAGUAGCCGGUCUGAGAGGAUGAACGGCCAACAUUGGGACUGAGAUACGGCCCAGACUCCUACGGGAGGCAGCAGU